UACGUAGGGUGCAAGCGUUAAUCGGAAUUACUGGGCGUAAAGCGUGCGCAGGCGGCUUUGCAAGACAGAUGUGAAAUCCCCGGGCUUAACCUGGGAAUGGCAUUUGGGACUGCAAGGCUGGAGUGCGGCAGAGGAGACUGGAAUUCCUGGUGUAGCAGUGAAAUGCGUAGAUAUCAGGAGGAACACCGAUGGCGAAGGCAGGUCUCUGGGCUGACACUGACACUCAUGCACGAAAGCGUGGGGAGCAAACAGG
rnacentral:rRNA from 1 species